rnacentral:misc_RNA from 1 species
AAAAUAAGUACUGCCCACUGAUUGUGUUAUUGGUUUUGUAUAAUCAAUUAUUUAGCGAUAGAGUGCCGCAAUAUUUACUCUGUAGAUUUAAAAAUUAGGAAUAUUCUAGUGUUGCUUUUUUUUUAUUAUUAUUAUAAAGUUUGAGGCGAUUCCAAUGACGUGUGAAAAACAUUUCUCAUACAUUUACUGAAGCUGCAGCUUAAGAUAAUAUAAUUUACCAUUAUGGAUGAUGAAGAUACAGAUUUUACUCUCAAUGCUGCUGCCAGGUCUCGUCUUUCAAGUCUAUUUCAAGCCGAAACUUCUAGUUCUGAUGUAAAUCAAGCUUUGACAUUCACUGCACCUAAGCAACCUAGAAAAACUGAAAACCCACAGAGCAGCUCUGGAACUUUAAAGUUAAUUCAUGCUGCUGUAGUUCAUGCAUUUAAAUUAAAGGAUGGAAAUUAUACUAAUCAAGGAAAAUUAGGCUGUGCAAUAUUAGGCCUGCAUGAAGCUUCAACCUAUAAAUUUCUGCUGUAUAAAGGCAAGCAAGUACAAGUUACUUCUUGCAGUAUCAUUCCAAGUUUUACAUUUCAUGUGCAGCCUAAUAAUUAUGCUAACAUUUAUGAUGAAAAUAAAGAAAAUUGGUCCUUGAAUUUUCUUUCUGAAGCAGAACUAUCAGAAUUUGCUAAACAGAUUGCCUUAGCUAAGGCAAAUUGUCAAGGCAAGAAUCUGUCACUAGUUAUCCAAGAUUUGCUUCAAGGAGAAGGUCCAGGUUUAGAAAGUGGAGAUUCAGCUGAAGUUAAAUACAUAGGUUGGCUACUGCAAAAUUAUUCAUUUGGCCAGGUUUUUGACAGCAAUAUGAGUUCAGAGUCAUUUUUCCGUGUGCGUCUUGGAAAGAGUAAGGUAAUUAAGGGAUGGAAUGAAGGUCUUUUAGGUGCUCAGAAAGGCUGCAAACGUCUGUUGAUUGUGCCUCCUAAUUUAGCAUAUGGUUCAGAAGGUAUGGGCAAUACCAUACCACCACAUUCCACCUUAAUUUUUGAAAUUCAUGUAGUAAAAGUUAAAAUUUCUCGAGAUGCCUCUCAUUCUCCUAGCCCAGUUAAAGUUUCUGAUAACAUUGCAGAAAAAAAACCUGAAGUUCCACCUCGCCAUUCUAUAUCGCAAGAAGAUAAUAUAAGAAUGAGAGGUGCUUCAAUAUCUGAACAAUUAACCCAAAGUCCCAAGAAGGACAAAGCUCAGCUCAUAUCUCGUAUGGCAAAAAUGGGAACAGCAACUCUACCUUUCCAGGGAGCAGUUGCAGCUCAAGUCAGUAGUGAUUCAGAAAAUGAGGAAGAAAUUUCAGCUCCUCCAGUUACAACACAAAGUUCAUCUAGAACAUCUUCUCCAAAACCCUUUUCAAAACCUAGGUCUCGUACAAAUUCUGGAACUAUCACUUUUGCUCAAGUAACUCAUCCUCAACCACUACCAGCAAAUACUCCAUUCCAAAUGACUCAGCAGUCUAGUCAAGUUUCACUUUAUGCACAGUCAGCCAUGCCAGUGCAGCAGCCGUAUGUGACUUCUGCACCAUUUCCAGCAUAUCCACCUCAAAUAUCAAGUCCUUUUCAAGUUCCACAAACUCAGUUUCCUAUGCAUGGUAUUUCAGGAGUGAUGCCAUCUAUUCCUACAAGUAUGGCAGAUGCUCAUCUACCAUUACUUAUUACUGAAACCCGAAGUCAAAAUGCUGAAGUGAGAUUAAGUUUGUCAAAGAUAACUGAUAAAGUGGACUCUGUUAUUCAAAAGGUUGAUGAUUUACGCCUGCAACAGGGUAAAUCAACUGGUUUGAGUCAUAUGCAUUUUAUGGAAGGUACUAUUCUUCUUCAAAAUAUUCAAAGAAUUAUCCAGGAGAAUCAACAACUAAAGGAGGAUGUUGAAAUAAGAAAUUCUAAAAUACAGGCCCUCAAUGAAAAAAUCUGUGAUCUCUUGCAAAGAAAUCAAAGGUUUUUUGAAGAGAGCACUAAUAUAAUGGAGCAAAGGAAAGAUUCACUUCAGGCUGCAAAUACACAAUCUCAUGUGAAAUUACUCAGUUUAGAGGAAGAGAAGGCUAAGCUUUCAUCUGAAUUAAUAAAUGCAACUGCGAAAUUAAAAAAUGUGGAGGCUGAUCUUCUUAGGCAUGAGAAUCAAGAAAAGGAGUUGCAGCAGAAAUUACUAGAAUCAGAGAGAGAGUUUAAAGAAUUAAAAGACAGACAGAAUAUAAAUACUGAAAAGGAAUCUUUGCUAAAUUCUUUAUGUGCUGAAUUGGAAAAUUUCAAGCAUGAGAAUAGGCUUCUAAAUACUAAGUUGCAAAGUCUGGAAGAGAAGCAGAAGGAAUUACAAGAUACAAACGAAUCAUUAGAAAAGCUUCUUUUAGAAAGUAAACAAAAGAUUCAAGAAAUAAAAUCUAAAGCUGCUUCUGAUUUGGAAAAUUUAAAUGCUGCUCAUGAGGAAGAAAUUCAAUCAUUUCAAAAGAAACUAAGGGAGAGAACAUCAUCAUUGAAUGAAGCAAGUAAUACUACUAAUGAACCUGAUCAGGAGAAAGAAAACCUCAGGCAAGAAUUAGAAAGUACCCUUGAGAAAAAAGAUGAGUUGGAGUCAAUCGUUUAUCAACUUAAGAAACAGCUAACUGAACGGGAAAAAGAAAUGCUACAGUAUACAGAAAAAAAUUCUGAAUUACAAAGUGAACUUGAAAAAUCUCUCAUCUGGAAAAAAAAGUAUGAUAUCUUCUAUGAGAAAACGUGUGCAUUAAAGGAAAGAUAUGAAAAUCAAAUUGUUGAACUUAUGAAGGAAGUGAAGCAUUUGCAGUCAUCUAAACAUUCUGGAAAUUCACCUGAUUUUUCUGCUGAGAUUAAAAAGGUAAUGAAUGCUCUUUACAAGCUUCUACAAGGGAAAUUUGAACCAAAUACUGCAUAUCCUGGAGCUAAAGUAUUAGAAAUGACACUGCAGACUAUUAGGGGUUUGACUUUUCAGAUGUUGGAAAUGAAGCGUAAAUCUUCUACAGAUUCAUCUGAACAAAUUUCUGAUCCUGGAAAGUGCUCAGUUGAUGAUGGAUUAAAAUCAAAAUCAAAUGCACUUGAAAAGAAAACAGAGAAUGAAAUAUCAGACCAGCUCAUUUCUAACGAAACUGAAGUAUCUUCACUUCCUCAAAAUGGUUUUCCUGAAGAAAAUGCGAUUGACUCUUCAUUUAACAAAGAGCAGAUAGAAAGUAGUACAGUUAGCAAUAUUAGUGAGCAUAGUAUUUCUGAAAAUCAACCAGAACCUUCGCCUAUUAGCAAAGAUCAGUCAGAUAGUAGUGCAUCUAGCACUACUAUUAGCAACAGUAUUGAGCAAACUGUUUCUGAAAAUCAGACAGAACCUAUGCAAAUGGAAAAUGCUCUGAACAACAUAAGAAAUGAUGAUACUUUACAUAAUAACCUAGGUACUACAGCUGUCGAUAAAUCAGAAGCUGAUGGAAAACUAAAAACUGAAACAAAAGAAGCUGCACAGGAUAGUAUGCGUGCUUCACCUGAUAGCACUGUACAGCUUUCCUCAGGCAACAUGUUUUCUGAAUCGCUUUCUGAAAAUGAGAGGACCAAGGUAGUACCACGCCUUUCGAACUGAUUGCUUAAUAAUUGCAUGGGGUUGCAUGAGCAGACAAUGGCAGAGAUUUGUGCUCCGUUUGAUAUCUACAGAAGCCUUUUCUGGAAUUCCUUUUAUGCUAUUUUGCUUGGUUAUGUGGUGUUUUGGAUUGGUGCUUGGGUACAUGGUUUGGCGACCACAACCU